rnacentral:rRNA from 1 species
UACGGAGGGUGCGAGCGUUAAUCGGAAUUACUGGGCGUAAAGCGCACGUAGGCGGUCGGAUAAGUCGGAUGUGAAAGCCCUGGGCUUAACCUGGGAACUGCAUUCGAUACUGCCCGGCUAGAGUAUGGGAGAGGGAAGCGGAAUUUCCGGUGUAGCGGUGAAAUGCGUAGAUAUCGGAAGGAACACCAAUGGCGAAGGCAGCUUCCUGGCCCAAUACUGACGCUCAGGUGCGAAAGCGUGGGGAUCAAACAGG